rnacentral:lncRNA from 1 species
AUCAAAUUAAAAAAAAUGAUACAUCGUUAUAUGUGUAUGACCUUGGAACUUUUAACUACAAUGGAAUGUAGAAUUGAUUUCCUAAAACUGUAAAAUUCAAGGGAAUAUUCUGUCCACCCAUAUUUGUAUGCAACCAUAUGUGACGUACCAUAUGUGGUGGUAUUACACCUUAAAGUUAGUUUACAUUUGAUAGGAACUUCUUGUGAUACAUUCAGUUGAAGAACUAUUCAGAUGCACUGACCCCUAAGUAAUGGUCAAAUGAAUUUGAAUUUAUCAACAAUUUUCAAUGUAAGUUGUCUGUAUAAGUCAUUUUGAAGAUAUAGAUAUAUAUGUGGGCUCCUCGUCCCUGUUUUCUUUUUUAUAUCCACUCACCUAACAUCCGAGGUGGGACAAAAGGUACUGUCGCAGACAAGUACUCCAUUUAUUUAUAAAGGAAACCAACAAAAAAAAACCUAGGGAAAUGUUGCAGUAUUUAGUGUUUACUCUAUACAGUUAUACAGAAUGUGUAGUUUUAGAUUACAACAUACAGAUACAAGGAUGUUCUCUAGAUAUUUGAAUUAUCUGGUUUUAUCCAGGGAGUCUUGUUAUAAGUUGUGGCCACUAACACCUGCUUUUAUUUUUAUAUUUUUAUUAAAUAUAGCUUAUAUAUUUUUAGCUCACCUGGCCCGAAGGGCCAAGUGAGCUUAUGCCAUCACUUGGCGUCCGUCGUCUGUCGUCGUCGUCGUCUGUCGUCAUAAACUAUUUCAAGAAUCUUCUCCUCUGAAACUACUGGGCCAAAUACUUCCAAACUUUAACUGAAUGUUCCUUAGGGUAUCUAGUUUAUAAAUUGUAUCCGAAGUUAUGAUCUAUCAACAAACAUGGUCGCCAUUGCUAAAAAUAGAACAUAGGGGUCAAAUGCAGUUUAUGGCUUAUAACUCAAAAACCAAAGCAUUUAGAGCAAAUCUGAUAAGGGGUAAAAUUGUUUAUCAGGUCAAGAUCUGACUGCCCUGAAAUUUUCAGAUGAAUCAGACAAUUCAUUGUUGGGUUGUUGCCCCUGAAUUGGUAAUUUUAAGGAAAUUUUGCUGUUUUUGGUUAUUAUCUUGAAUAUUAUUAUAGAUAGAGAUAAACUGUAAACAGCAAUAAUGUUCAGCAAAGUAAGAUUUACAAAUAAGUCAACAUGACCGAAAUGGUCAGUUGACCCCUUUAGGAGUUAUUGCCCUUUAUAGUCAAUUUUAACCAUUUUUCGUAAAUCUUAGUAAUCUUUUACAAAAAUCUUCUCCUCUGAAACUACUGGGCCAAAUACUUCCAAACUUGAACUGAAUGUUCCUUAGGGUAUCUAGUUUAUAAAUUGUGUCCGGUGACCCGGCCAACCAACCAAGAUGGCCGCCAUGUCUAAAAAUAGAGCAUAUGGGUAAAAUGCAUUUUUUGGCUUAUAACUCAAAAACCAAAGCAUUUAGAGCAAACCUGAGAUGAGUAAAAUUGUUUAUCAGGUCAAGAUCUAUCUGCCCUGAAAUUUUCAGAUGAAUCGGACAACCCGUUGUUAGGUUGCUGCCCCUGAAUUGGUCAUUUUAAGGAAAUUGUUGCUAUUUUCGGUUAUUAUCUUGAAUAUUAUUAUAGAUAGAGAUAAACUGUAAAUAGGAAAAAUGUUCAGCAAAGUAAGAUUUACAAAUAAGUCAUCAAGUCCAAAUUUUCAGUUGACCCCUUUAGGAGUUAUUGCCCUUUAUAGUCAAUUUUUAAACAUUUUUCGUAAAUCUUAGUUAUCUUAUACAAAAAUCUUCUCCUCUGAAACUACUGGGCCAAAUUAAGUCAAACUUGGCCACAAUCAUUAUUGGGAUAUUUAGUUUAAAAAUUGUGUCCGGUGACCCGGCCAACCAACCAAGAUGGCUGCCAUGGCUAAAAAUAGAACAUAGGGGUAAAAUGCAGUUUUUGGCUUAAAACAUAAAAACCAAAGCAAAAGGUCAAGAUCUAUCUGCCCUGAAAUUUUCAGAUGAAUCAGACAACGUGUUGUUGGGUUGCUGCCCCUGAAUUGAUAAUUUUAUGGAAAUUUUUCUGUUUUUGUUUAUUAUCUUGAAUAUUAUUAUAGAUAGAGAUAAACUGUAAACAGCAAUAAUGUUCAGCAAAGUAAGAUCUUCAAAUAAGUCAAUUUGACCAAAAUUGUCAAUUGACCCCUUAAGGAGUUAUUGCCCUUUAAAGACUUUUUUCACAAUUUGUUCAUCAUGUUGACUUACUUUAAAAAAUCUUCUCCUUUGAAACUGCUGUAUCAAUUUCAGCCAGACUUAGGCUAAAUGAGUUUCAGAGUAUCUAGUAUAAAUUUUAUAUUUUAUUUCCUUUAAUGUCAAGAAACAUAGCUCCUAUGGCUAAAAUAGAACAUAGGAGAAAAUGAUUUUUUUUUUGGCUUUUGAAGAAAAUAGGACGAUCCAAAGAACAUUUAAAUAAAUUGAAAAUCCAAAAUAAUCAUUGAUGAGAGAUUUAAUCAAAAGAAUUAAGGUGAGCGAUUCAGGCUCUUGAGAGCCUCUUGUUAUUAAAUAUAGCUUAUAAGCUUAUGUCUUUCACCUUAUAAAAUCCUUGUUGCUAUUCUAUAAAACCCUUGUUACUAUAAUAUAUAAACCUUGUUACUAGUCUAUACAAAACCCUGUUACUUUUUUAUAAAACCCUUGUUACUUUUUUUUAUAAAACCACUGUUACUAUUCUAUAAACCAAUGUAACUAUUCUACAGUUAUGUGUGAUAAAACAAAUACCAAAACAAAUAUGCUAGACAUAAG